rfam:Solanum tuberosum cultivar DM 1-3 516 R44 scf00402_20, whole genome shotgun sequence.
AAGUGGCGUGAUCAGGCUUAUCCAACUGUACUGUUAGUAUUCCAUGAUGAAUCAGAACAUGCACUACCAUCUGAUCUCUA